rnacentral:rRNA from 1 species
GUGGGGAAUAUUGCACAAUGGGCGCAAGCCUGAUGCAGCAACGCCGCGUGAGGGAUGACGGCCUUCGGGUUGUAAACCUCUUUUAGUAGGGAAGAAGCGUAAGUGACGGUACCUGCAGAAAAAGCACCGGCUAACUACGUGCCAGCAGCCGCGGUAAUACGUAGGGUGCAAGCGUUGUCCGGAAUUAUUGGGCGUAAAGAGCUCGUAGGCGGCUUGUCGCGUCUGCCGUGAAAACCCAGGGCUCAACUCUGGGCGUGCGGUGGGUACGGGCAGGCUAGAGUGCGGUAGGGGAGAUUGGAAUUCCUGGUGUAGCGGUGGAAUGCGCAGAUAUCAGGAGGAACACCGAUGGCGAAGGCAGAUCUCUGGGCCGUAACUGACGCUGAGGAGCGAAAGCAUGGGGAGCGAACAGGAUUAGAUACCCUGGUAGUCC